rnacentral:lncRNA from 1 species
UACAAUCUAAAAGCUACUGGUGAGUUGGUAAUAGGUAGUGCAGAUGUUGACAAAACCAUAGUUUUCUACUGUCAAUAACAAACAUGUUUCUAUAUUGCAACAAAUUCAUACAUAUUACCACUGUAUUCAUACAUAUUACUACUGCAGGGGUUUGGAAAUCAAGGGGACAAAUUGUGGGGUGUUAAAAACCACAAACUUAUUUCCAAACCUAUGGCUUCAAAUUUUACAUACUUUGCUUGGUGCCCAGAUAAAGAGACUACUACAUGUGCCCCCAGGUUAUGUGUUAAUAAUGGGUGCGAGAUUUUCCAUUAUACUAGCUCUAUCUUGCACAAGAAUAUCACGCCAUCAAAUGCAGAAAUCGAAAAAAAGCAGCUGUAGAAAAUUCAAAAAGAGACAGCCCUUCUCCAGGAGCUAGAAGAUUUAGAAAUGAGUCUU